GGAAAUGUUCAUGUUGUAGGCUGAAAAAGCUGCUUUUGAUGAGGCAGAAAAUAAGAGAGAGGAGGAGGAAGCAAAGGAUGGCCCAGUUGAUUCUGAUGCUGAGGAAGGCGAUGAUGAUGAUGCUGCUGAUGAAGCAGAUAGUGAUGAUGCAGACCCCAAAUCAGAAACAAAGGAAGAUGUUACUGCCGCAGCUGAGGAAAAUGUUAAAGUUAAGGCUUGUCUGAUCUUUCAGUGUUGAGUU